GUCGGUGUCUAUAAAGAUGAGGACACACCUGUUUCCAUUCCGAACACAGUAGUUAAGCUCAUCGUUGCCUACGAUACUUGGCGGGCGACUGCCCGGGAAAAUUGGUAAACGCCGGCA
rnacentral:rRNA from 1 species